GGUUUUUUGAAUUUAUAUGAAAAAUCUGACCUGCCCAAUGAUAAUUAAAUGGCCGCGGUAUUUUGACCGUGCGAAGGUAGCAUAAUCAUUAGUCUUUUAAUUGGGGACUGGAAUGAAUGGUUGGACGUGAUAAUAGCUUUUUUAAUUUUAACUAUUGAGUUUUACUUUUUGGUGAAGAGGCCAAAAUUUGACUAAAAGACAAGAAGACCCUAUUAAGUUUUAUUAUGACCGUGUUUAUAAUUAUAAGUGAUGUAAAAUGCGGAUUAAUUUUACUGGGGCGGUAAAUUAGAACUUAUUAUGAUCCAUAAUUUAUGAUUGUUUGAUUAAAUUACUAUAGGGAUAACAGCGUAAUCUUAUUUGAGAGUUCAUAUCGACGAUAAGGGUUGCGACCUCGAUGUUGGAUUAGAAUACCUUUUUGGAGCAGAAUCUAGAAGUGGUGGUCUGUUCGACCAUAAAAAUUCUACA
rnacentral:rRNA from 1 species